AAGUCGUAACAAGGUAACCGUAGGUGAACCUGCGGUUGGAUCAUUAAAAAAUUCAACUAAGAGUGAGUUCUCUAACGAGUCUCACUUCUUAAACACAUUGUGAACCGUUAUUGUCUCUGGUGGGUUAAAAGGCUGUCUUAAUGGCAGUUGGUUAACCUCGGUUAACUACCCACCGCCUUAACAUUUUAAUCUUUAAUUGGACUACUUGUUUAAAUAUUAAAUUUAAAACAACUUUUGGCAACGGAUCUCUUGGCUCUC
rnacentral:misc_RNA from 1 species